GGCUGAGCGGCUGGCUGUGACCAUGACCCCUGGUGUGAACAGCUGUGAUUGGGUGUAACUGAGUCCAACUGUGAGUCAGUGGCUGACUGCCUGACUAGCUGACUGGUGGAGGCCGGCCGGGCGACUGGCUGACCGCAGCUGCUGCGACUCGUGUCGCGAGUGGCCCUGCCUCACUGUGUGGCCCGGGCUGCGGGUCAGAGUCUGACUGUGAGACCGUGACAGGCUGACUGACCGGCUUUCCUGGCCGACGGCCUCUGGGUUGGCCUGUAAACACAGUCCCUACCUGUCCCAGAACCGUGAGAGGCCCUACAGGGAGUAAGCCCAGCCUGAGGGACAGAGCGGCUUCUGUGGAGCAGCUGGGGCAGGAAGACGGAGGCAGGAGCCGCCAGAGGGAGAACGGGAAUAGGCCCUGCCCAGGGCUGGGCCCAGAUGGAAAGUUCUCCACCUCACCCUUGCAGGGGCUGGGUCCCUGGCGCACAUUCGGAAGGUGUUGGACAGAGCUCAGAUGCCUCUACCACCUGCCGUAUGCAUGGUUUUGUCACCCACAAGUGCGAACUAUAUGAAUAAUGGCUCUUCCUCUAUAAACUCGAGAGAGGAGAAAACAGAAUCCAAAGACUUCACCUCAGUGCCUGGCACUUAGUAAACCACCAAGGAAUAUGAGCAUUCGUGAUUAUGGAUACUCAUCUCAUGGGCAUAUGCAAGGAUUCGUGAAGAUCCUCCCUGAGAAUGUACCUGGGAAGCCACGAAGCUCAGCCCCAAAGUGCUGGAAGGCAGCUGUGCAGCCUGGCAACCGCUCCUUCCUUCCCUGAGCCUGGCGAGGCUGUCCCCAGCUACCCUGAAAUGCCACCUGUCCCCCACCCCCCAAAGGACUCCACAGACUCUCUGGGGGCUUGGGCUGCUCCUGACACUACAGCUACUGGGGCCUGGUCCCCAGGGACGGGGAGGUAAAAACAGGAAGAAAUUCUCUGGGGUUCCCCUGGGAAGAGCCAAGGACCUACCUGUCAUAAGGAGGCCCUCGUGGGGCAUGGGGCCUCUUCCAGGAAGACCCAGGGUCUCGGGCCCUCCAGGGCCAGGAGGAAAACCCAGGCUCUCCUCUGAACCGGGGCAGGCUGAGAACCCAGGUAUGAGCCCAGAAAAAAAUCCCUCCCACACUAACACAGUCACCCUGUUCUCAAAGAGCUGCUGAGGAUGUGAGCUCAUUUGACCUUCACAGCUACGCAUAGCUGCAAAUUAAAACCAAGUAAUGAAGACUCCCCAACGGCACAGCCAAGGAACAGAAGGCUGCCCUCUAACUCAUUCAUUCCUUCGUGCGGCUUAAGAUUUCCUACAAGCCUACCUUUGAAUCCCAGCUCAGCCAGUUACUGGAUCGGUGACCUUAGGCCAGUGACUUCUUGGCUCAGAGCCUCAAUUUCCCCCUCGGUAAAACGGGGAUGACUCUAGCACCAGUCUCACAGUGUCAUGGUGAAGAUUUGACAAAAUGCUCAUUAAAUGCUUUAAAAAAUGUAAGACUCGAGGAGCUGAGAGUUUCUCUCUUCGGCCCCACAACUGCUUCAUCAUCGCAAAAUGGGACGUAAGCACCCAUAAGGUCACAGGGUUGUCGGGAAGAGUUAACAGGCACUUAGCAUAGUUGCAGCCACCUCUCAUCGAUCCUGCGGCCCCGACUCAUGUCCUAGGUGACCAGUCACGGCCUCCUCCACAGCUCUUCAUAGGGCCCCCGUCUGGCACACAAUAAAGGCUCAAUAAACAGGAA